ACUACGGGGCGCAGCAGUGGGGAAUAUUGCACAAUGGGGGAAACCCUGAUGCAGCGACGCCGCGUGAAGGAAGAAGUAUUUCGGUAUGUAAACUUCUAUCAGCAGGGAAGAAAAUGACGGUACCUGACUAAGAAGCCCCGGCUAACUACGUGCCAGCAGCCGCGGUCAUACGUAGGGGGCAAGCGUUAUCCGGAUUUAAGGGGUGUGAAGGGAGCGUAGGCGGUUUAGCAAGUCAGAAGUGAAAGCCCGGGGCUAAAAUCCGGGACUGCUUUUGAAAAUGUUGAACGAGAUUGCAGGAGAGGUAAGUGGAAUUCCUGGUGUAGCGGUGAAAUGCGUAGAUAUUAGGAGGAACACCAGUGGCGAAGGCGGCUUACUGGACUGUAAAUGACGCUGAGGCUCGAAAGCGUGGGGAGCAAACAGGAUUAGAUACCCCAGUAGUC
rnacentral:rRNA from 1 species